rnacentral:rRNA from 1 species
UUUUGCGCAAUGCUCGUAAGAGUGACGCAGCGACGCCGCGUGAAUGACGAAGGCCUUCGGGUCGUAAGGUUCUUUCGACAGGGAAGAAAAUGCCUAUAAGUAACUGUGUAUGUAUUGACGGUACCUGUAUAAGCAGCCCCGGCUACCCCCGUGCCAGAACCCGCGGUAAUACGGAGGGGGGCGAGCGUUGUUCGGAGUGACUGGGCGUAAAGAGCACGGAGGCGGUGUUGUAAGUCAUUAGUCAAAGACUAGAGCUCAACUUUAGUAAGGCUAGUGAUACUAUAAUACUAGAGUAUCAGAGAGGAUUGCAGAAUUCCUGGUGUAGCGGUGAAAUGCGUAGAUAUCAGGAGGAAUACCGUUAGCGAAGGCGGCAAUCUGGCUGGAAACUGACGCUGAGGUGCGAAAGCGUGGGUAGCAAACA